UCCUCCCAUAAUAUUAUGAUGUUCCCCAAGUUUUGGACUCAAUCCGAUAUCGAUUGGUCCUUCAAAUCGGACAAUUCAGGUUCGUACGAAGUUCGUUCUGAAAUGGGGUGGUUGGUUUAUUGUAUAGUUCUAAAGACUGGAUUUCACUCAAAACCCACCAAAUGAUUCCUCCCACAAUAUUAUGAUGUUCCCCAAGUUUUGGACUCAAUCCGUUAUCGAUUGGUCAAAGAAAUCGGACAAUUCAAGUUAGUACGAAGUUCGUUCUGAAAUGGGGAGGUUGGUGUAUUGUAUAGUUCUAAAGAUUGGAUUUCACUCAAAACCCACCAAAUUACUCCUCCCAAAAUAUUAUGAUGUUCCCCAACUUUUGGACUCAAUCCGAUAUCGAUUGGACCUUGAAAUCGGACAAUUCAGGUUCCUACGAAGUUCGUUCUGAAAUGGGGUGGUUGGUGUAUUGUAUAGUUCUAGAGAUUGGAUUUCACUCAAAACCCACCCAAAUGACUCCUCCCACAAUAUUAUGAUGUUCCCCACAGUUUUUGGACUCAAUCCGAUAUCGAUUCGGUCCUUCAAAAUCGGACCAAUUCAGGUUCUUAGAAGUUCAAUCUGAAAUGGGUGGUGGUGUAUUUUAGUCUAGGGGAAUAGAUUCACACAAAACCCACCAAAUGACUCCUCCCAAAAUAUUAUGAUGUUCCCCAAGUUUGGACUCAAUCCGCUACCGAUUGGUCAAUGUAAUCGGACAAUUCAGGUUCGUACGAAUUUCGUUCUGAAAUGGGGUGGUUGGUGUAUUGUAUAGUUCUAAAGAUUGGAUUUCACUCAAAACCCACCAAAUUACUCCUCCCACAAUAUUAUGAUGUUCCCCAAGUUUUGGACUCAAUCCGUUAUCGAUUGGUCAAAGAAAUCGGACAAUUCAAGUUAGUACGAAGUUCGUUCUGAACUGGGGAGAUUGGUGUAUUGUAUAGUUCUAGAGAUUGGAUUUCACUCAAAGCCCACCAAAUGACUCCUCCCACAAUGUUAUGAUGUUCCCCAAGUUUUGGACUCAAUCCGAUAUCGGUCGGUCCACGAAAUUUGACAAUUCAGGUUCGUAAGAAGUUCGUUCUGAAAUGCGGUGGUUGGUGUAUUUUAUAGUUCUAAAGAUUGGAUUUCACUCAAAACCCACCAAAUGACUCCUCCCACAAUAUUAUGAUGUUCCCCAAGUUUUGGACUCAAUCCGUUAUCGAUUGGUCAAUGAAAUCGGAUAAUUCAGGUUCGUACGAAGUUCGUUCUGAAAUGGGGUGGUUGGGGUAUUGUAUAGUUCUAGAGAUUGCAUUUCACUCAAAACCCACCAAAUGACUCCUCCCACAAUAUUAUGAUGUUUCCCAAGUUUUGGACUCAAUCCGAUGUCGAUUGGUCCUUGAAAUCGGAC
rnacentral:lncRNA from 1 species